CGGACGGGUGAGUAACACGUGGGAACGUGCCUUUAGGUUCGGAAUAACUCAGGGAAACUUGUGCUAAUACCGAAUGUGCCCUUCGGGGGAAAGAUUUAUCGCCUUUAGAGCGGCCCGCGUCUGAUUAGCUAGUUGGUGAGGUAAAGGCUCACCAAGGCGACGAUCAGUAGCUGGUCUGAGAGGAUGAUCAGCCACAUUGGGACUGAGACACGGCCCAAACUCCUACGGGAGGCAGCAGUGGGGAAUCUUGCGCAAUGGGCGAAAGCCUGACGCAGCCAUGCCGCGUGAAUGAUGAAGGUCUUAGGAUUGUAAAAUUCUUUCAGUAGGGACGAUAAUGACGGUACCUACAGAAGAAGCCCCGGCUAACUUCGUGCCAGCAGCCGCGGUAAUACGAAGGGGGCUAGCGUUGCUCGGAAUUACUGGGCGUAAAGGGAGCGUAGGCGGACAUUUAAGUCAGGGGUGAAAUCCCGGGGCUCAACCUCGGAAUUGCCUUUGAUACUGGGUGUCUUGAGUAUGAGAGAGGUAUGCGGAACUCCGAGUGUAGAGGUGAAAUUCGUAGAUAUUCGGAAGAACACCAGCGGCGAAGGCGACAUACUGGCUCAUUACUGACGCUGAGGCUCGAAAGCG
rnacentral:rRNA from 1 species